UACGAAGGGGGCUAGCGUUGCUCGGAAUCACUGGGCGUAAAGCGCACGUAGGCGGAUUGUUAAGUCAGGGGUGAAAUCCUAGAGCUCAACUCCAGAACUGCCUUUGAUACUGGCGAUCUCGAGUCCGGGAGAGGUGAGUGGAACUGCGAGUGUAGAGGUGAAAUUCGUAGAUAUUCGCAAGAACACCAGUGGCGAAGGCGGGCUCUGGGCCCGUAUACUGCGUGAGGACGAAAG
rnacentral:rRNA from 1 species